GAUGAACGCUGGCGGCGUGCCUAAUACAUGCAAGUCGAGCGAAUGGAUUAAGAGCUUGCUCUUAUGAAGUUAGCGGCGGACGGGUGAGUAACACGUGGGUAACCUGCCCAUAAGACUGGGAUAACUCCGGGAAACCGGGGCUAAUACCGGAUAACAUUUUGAACCGCAUGGUUCGAAAUUGAAAGGCGGCUUCGGCUGUCACUUAUGGAUGAACCCGCGUCGCAUUAGCUAGUUGGUGAGGUAACGGCUCACCAAGGCAACGAUGCGUAGCCGACCUGAGAGGGUGAUCGGCCACACUGGGACUGAGACACGGCCCAGACUCCUACGGGAGGCAGCAGUAGGGAAUCUUCCGCAAUGGAUGAAAGUCUGACGGAGCAACGCCGCGUGAGUGAUGAAGGCUUUCGGGUCGUAAAACUCUGUUGUUAGGGAAGAACAAGUGCUAGUUGAAUAAGCUGGCACCUUGACGGUACCUAACCAGAAAGCCACGGCUAACUACGUGCCAGCCGCCGCGGUAA
rnacentral:rRNA from 1 species